rnacentral:rRNA from 1 species
UAGGGAAUCUUCGGCAAUGGGGGGAACCCUGACCGAGCAACGCCGCGUGAGUGAAGAAGGUUUUCGGAUCGUAAAGCUCUGUUGUUAAGGAAGAACGAGUGUGAGAAUGGAAAGUUCAUGCUGUGACGGUACUUAACCAGAAAGGGACGGCUAACUACGUGCCAGCAGCCGCGGUAAUACGUAGGUGGCAAGCGUUGUCCGGAUUUAUUGGGCGUAAAGCGAGCGCAGGCGGUCAAUUAAGUCUGAUGUGAAAGCCCCCGGCUCAACCGGGGAGGGUCAUUGGAAACUGGUUGACUUGAGUGCAGAAGAGGAGAGUGGAAUUCCAUGUGUAGCGGUGAAAUGCGUAGAUAUAUGGAGGAACACCAGUGGCGAAGGCGACUCUCUUGUCUGUAACUGACGCUGAGGCUCGAAAGCGUGGGUAGCAAACAGG